AUAUGCAAGCUCACUUAAGACAUUCAAGGAGGUCUGGAUGUCCUCACUGCCCAGGCCCGGGCCCACCCCACCUUUAACCGUCAGGGUUCCCCACUACCUGGGAAGCCCCACACCCUCCAAAGAUGCGCUAGGUGCGCCAGACGCAUGCUCCUCUGCUCCGCUGGCUCCGAAGAACCAGAUCUGAGGCCAAGAUAAAACCCGAUUCCUGAUGUCCGACCCCCUAACAUUAGAAGUCGAGAGAUGAAGGGAAAACUCGGAAAUCAGAGCCAUGGAUUCAAACCAGCACUGGAAAAUGCCCCGGGACAGUUCGUGCUGAGCGCCUUAGCCACAGGAAACAUUUUCCUGGGCAUCUAAAAGUAUUGUGGACCUGAGACACUGUGCUUACAGGGCCUACUGGUUUUCACUGUAUGAGACUGAGAAUGGAUUACGGCAGUUCCUCUUACCUCCGCUGCAUACUUGACUCCAUCCACGGUGUGCUCAGAGCCAUGAUCAUCCGAAGAGCCCCAGUGAAGAUGAAACUGGCGAAGUCGGUAGGGUCCAGGGAGAGGACCCCCUCUCAGCACUGUGAUUCAGAUAAGCUUGGUCAAC
rnacentral:antisense_RNA from 1 species